rnacentral:lncRNA from 1 species
AGAAAGUGUAGAAAAAUCCCUUUUGAACCCUUUUGAAGGUGCAAAUCUAGUGCAGAAAUCCAAGGAGACCGCCAGGCGAAAUUCAAAGGUACGGAUCAAAGUGCAGAGAACCUAGAACCACCUAGCUUUUAAGGAGCUCGGGUUUGGGUUCUCGCCGCUACCGCCCGGCAGCAAAGUUGCACCGCCCGGCGGUGAGCAGAAAUUUU